GGGUUGUGACGUUUAUUUCUCGCGACUGGAGCCUAUUGGGGGCUUCACGUGGUUUGCGCUUUGCAGGUUUUGUGGCUUGUCUGACCAUGGCGGAGGUGCUGGCAGCGCCGCUGCCCCAGAAGCGCUACUACCGGCAGCGCGCGCACUCUAAUCCGUUGGCGGAUCACACUUUGCGCUAUCCUGCCAAGCCUGAGGAAAUGGACUGGUCUGAGCUCUACCCAGAGUUCUUCAUGCCUUUAACCAAAGAUGAUCAGCACGAUGACCCAAAGGACGUGGAAGAGAGAGCCAAGCCUUCCUUUCAAGUAGAAUUUGCUGAUAUUGGCUGUGGUUAUGGGGGAUUACUGGUUGCACUGUCUCCUCUGUUCCCGAACACCUUAAUGCUGGGCCUGGAGAUCCGUGUGAAGGUCUCAGAUUAUGUGCGAGAUAGGAUCCAGUCCCUGCGAGUGUCCCACCCUGGGCUGUAUCAGAACAUUGCCUGCAUCCGCAGCAAUGCCAUGAAACACCUGCCCAAUUUCUUCCGCAAGGGACAGUUGUGCAAAAUGUUCUUCCUCUUCCCCGACCCUCACUUCAAGAAGACAAAGCACAAGUGGAGAAUUAUCAGCACCACCUUGCUGGCAGAGUAUGCCUAUGUCCUGCGUGAGCAGGGACUGGUGUACACCAUCACAGAUGUGGAAGAAGUGCACAAAUGGAUGGUAAAGCAUUUCCAAGAGCAUCCACUCUUUGAGCAAAUACCGUUAGAAGAACUGGCAAGUGAUCCUGUUGUUGCUCUCUUGGGAACCUCAACUGAGGAAGGGAAGAAGGUUCAGAGGAAUGGAGGCAAGACUUUUCCUGCUGUUUUCCGGCGUGUCGCAGACAAAACCCUGAAGGAGCCACUGGAUAAAACACAGGAAGUGGCCAGGACAUGACCGGGGGAUUUCCUGAGCCCUGACAAGAUUCACGUUGGCCGUGCCUUCCUCUCAGUGAUGGGGAGAGGCAUUACAGCAACAGUGGAAAGGACUAAAUAUUUAUCUCCAUAGUGGAGUCAACCUUCUAUAAAUAUAGAAGGGAAAUCCCUUCAGAGAAGUACUGCACAGUUGUGUAAUAGAUUGCCUGGAUCUCAUUGGUGUUCAUGUUGCCCAUAGCAGGGCCACGAUGCAUAAUAAUGACCAUAGUAGCUGAACUGCAAUGAUUAUUAUUAUUAUUAUUUAUUACAUUUGAUUUAUAUCCCGCCCUCUCCGCAAGCGGACUCAGGGCGGCUCACAGUAUCUAGACAAUUAAACAAAUAAAAUAUAUAAAACCAUAA